rnacentral:rRNA from 1 species
CCUACGGGGGGCUGCAGUGGGGAAUAUUGGACAAUGGGCGAAAGCCUGAUCCAGCCAUGCCGCGUGUGUGAAGAAGGCCUUCGGGUUGUAAAGCACUUUCAGUGGGGAAGAAAGCCUUGGGGCUAAUACCCUCGAGGAAGGACAUCACCCACAGAAGAAGCACCGGCUAACUCCGUGCCAGCAGCCGCGGUAAUACGGAGGGUGCGAGCGUUAAUCGGAAUUACUGGGCGUAAAGCGCGCGUAGGCGGUCUGAUAAGCCGGUUGUGAAAGCCCCAGGCUCAACCUGGGAACGGCAUCCGGAACUGUCAGGCUAGAGUGCAGGAGAGGAAGGUAGAAUUCCCGGUGUAGCGGUGAAAUGCGUAGAGAUCGGGAGGAAUACCAGUGGCGAAGGCGGCCUUCUGGACUGACACUGACGCUGAGGUGCGAAAGCGUGGGUAGCAAACAGGAUUAGAUACCCCGGUAGUC